GACAGAGGGUGCAAACGUUGUUCGGAAUUACUGGGCGUAAAGCGCGUGUAGGCGGCCAUCUAAGUCGGGCGUGAAAUCCCCACGGCUCAACCGUGGAAGUGCACUCGAAACUGGAUGGCUAGAGUCCUGGAGAGGAAGGUGGAAUGCUUGGUGUAGAGGUGAAAUUCGUAGAUAUUCGCAAGAACACCAGUGGCGAGGCGGCUCACUGGCCCGGAACUGACGCUGAGACGCGAAAGCGUGGGGAGCAAACAGG
rnacentral:rRNA from 1 species